rnacentral:rRNA from 1 species
GACGAACGCUGGCGGCGUGCUUAACACAUGCAAGUCGAACGGAAAGGCCCUGCUUUUGUGGGGUUCUCGAGUGGCGAACGGGUGAGUAACACGUGAGUAACCUGCCCUUGACUUUGGGAUAACUUCAGGAAACUGGGGCUAAUACCGGAUAGGAGCUCCUGCUCCAUGGUGGGGGUUGGAAAGUUUCGGCUGUUGGGGAUGGACUCGCGGCUUAUCAGCUUGUUGGUGGGGUAGUGGCUUACCAAGGCUUUGACGGGUAGCCGGCCUGAGAGGGUGACCGGCCACAUUGGGACUGAGAUACGGCCCAGACUCCUACGGGAGGCAGCAGGGGGGAAUAUUGCACAAUGGGCGGACGCCUGAUGCAGCAACGCCGCGUGCGGGAUGACGGCCUUCGGGUUGUAAACCGCUUUCGCCUGUGACGAAGCGUGAGUGACGGUAAUGGGUAAAGAAGCACCGGCUAACUACGUG